rnacentral:rRNA from 1 species
GAUGAACGCUGGCGGCGUGCCUAAUACAUGCAAGUCGAGCGAACAGACGAGGAGCUUGCUCCUCUGACGUUAGCGGCGGACGGGUGAGUAACACGUGGAUAACCUACCUAUAAGACUGGGAUAACUUCGGGAAACCGGAGCUAAUACCGGAUAAUAUAUUGAACCGCAUGGUUCAAUAGUGAAAGACGGUUUUGCUGUCACUUAUAGAUGGUUCCGCGCCGCACUAGCUAGUUGGUAAGGUAACGGCUUACCAAGGCAACGAUGCGUAGCCGACCUGAGAGGGUGAUCGGCCACACUGGAACUGAGACACGGUCCAGACCCCUACGGGAGGCAGCAGUAGGGAAUCUUCCGCAAUGGGCGAAAGCCGGACGGAGCAACGCCGCGUGAGUGAUGAAGGUCUUCGGAUCGUAAAACUCUGUUAUUAGGUAAGAACAAAUGUGUAAGUAACUAUGCACGUCUUGACGGUACCUAAUCAGAAAGCCACGGCUAACUACGUG